rnacentral:rRNA from 1 species
AGUGAAAUAGAACCUGAAACCGUGUGCCUACAACAAGUUCGAGCCCGUUAAUGGGUGAGAGCGUGCCUUUUGUAGAAUGAACCGGCGAGUUACGAUAUGAUGCGAGGUUAAGUUGAAGAGACGGAGCCGUAGGGAAACCGAGUCUUAAUAGGGCGCAUUAGUAUCAUGUCGUAGACCCGAAACCAUGUGACCUACCCAUGAGCAGGUUGAAGGUGAGGUAAAACUCACUGGAGGACCGAACCAGGGCACGUUGAAAAGUGCUUGGAUGACUUGUGGGUAGCGGAGAAAUUCCAAACGAACUUGGAGAUAGCUGGUUCUCUCCGAAAUAGCUUUAGGGCUAGCGUCGAUGUUAAGUCUCUUGGAGGUAGAGCACUGUUUGGGUGAGGGGUCCAUCCCGGAUUACCAAUCUCAGAUAAACUCCGAAUGCCAACGAGAUAUAAUCGGCAGUCAGACUGCGAGUGCUAAGAUCCGUAGUCGAAAGGGAAACAGCCCAGACCACCAGCUAAGGUCCCAAAAUAUAUGUUAAGUGGAAAAGGAUGUGGGGUUGCACAGACAACUAGGAUGUUAGCUUAGAAGCAGCUAUUCAUUCAAAGAGUGCGUAAUAGCUCACUAGUCGAGUGACCCUGCGCCGAAAAUGUACCGGGGCUAAAACAUAUUACCGAAGCUGUGGAUACCUUUAUAGGUAUGGUAGGAGAGCGUUCUAUGUGCGAAGAAGGUGUACCGUGAGGAGUGCUGGAACGCAUAGAAGUGAGAAUGCCGGUAUGAGUAGCGAAAGACAGGUGAGAAUCCUGUCCACCGUAAGACUAAGGUUUCCAGGGGAAGGCUCGUCCGCCCUGGGUUAGUCGGGACCUAAGGAGAGACCGAAAGGUGUAUCCGAUGGACAACAGGUUGAUAUUCCUGUACUAGAGUAUAUAGUGAUGGAGGGACGCAGUAGGCUAACUAAACCAGACGAUUGGAAGUGUCUGGCCAAGCAGUGAGGUGUGAUAUGAGUCAAAUGCUUAUAUCUAUAACAUUGAGCUGUGAUGGGGAGCGAAGUUUAGUAGCGAAGUUAGUGAUGUCACACUGCCGAGAAAAGCUUCUAGCGUUAAUUAUACUCUACCCGUACCGCAAACCGACACAGGUAGUCGAGGCGAGUAGCCUCAGGUGAGCGAGAGAACUCUCGUUAAGGAACUCGGCAAAAUGGCCCCGUAACUUCGGGAGAAGGGGCGCUGACUUAUGGUCAGCCGCAGUGAAUAGGCCCAAGCAACUGUUUAUCAAAAACACAGCUCUCUGCUAAAUCGUAAGAUGAUGUAUAGGGGGUGACGCCUGCCCGGUGCUGGAAGGUUAAGAGGAGUGCUUAGCAAUAGCGAAGGUAUGAAUUGAAGCCCCAGUAAACGGCGGCCGUAACUAUAACGGUCCUAAGGUAGCGAAAUUCCUUGUCGGGUAAGUUCC